UGGGGAAUUUUGCACAAUGGGGGAAACCCUGAUGCAGCGACGCCGCGUGAUUUAGAAGGCCUUCGGGUUGUAAAAAUCUUUUCUAUGGGAAGAAAAUGACAGUACCAUAGGAAUAAGGACCGGCUAAUUACGUGCCAGCAGCCGCGGUAAUACGUAAGGUCCGAGCGUUGUCCGGAAUCAUUGGGCGUAAAGGGUACGUAGGCGGGUAAGCAAGUUAGAAGUGAAAUCCUAUAGCUCAACUAUAGUAAGCUUUUAAAACUGCUCAUCUUGAGGUAUGGAAGGGAAAGUGGAAUUCCUAGUGUAGCGGUGAAAUGCGCAGAGAUUAGGAGAAAUACCGGAGGCGAAGGCGAGUUUCUGGCCAUAACCUGACGCUGAGGUACGAAAGCGUGGGUAGCAAACAGG
rnacentral:rRNA from 1 species